AUUGAACGCUGGCGGCAGGCCUAACACAUGCAAGUCGAACGAGUGGCGGACGGGUGAGUAAUGUCUGGGAAACUGCCUGAUGGAGGGGGAUAACUACUGGAAACGGUAGCUAAUACCGCAUACCAUCGGAUGUGCCCAGAUGGGUUUAGCUAGUGGGUGGGGUAAAGGCUCACCAAGGCGACGAUCCCUAGCUGGUCUGAGAGGAUGACCAGCAAAACUGGAACUGAGACACGGUCCAGACUCCUACGGGAGGCAGAAGUGGGGAAUAUUGCACAAGGGGCGCAAGCCUGACGCAGCCAUGCCGCGUGUAUGAAGAAGGCCUUGGGGUUGUAAAGUACUUUCAGCGGGGAGGCGGGAACAGAAGAAGAAGCACCGGCUAACUCCGUGCCAGCAGCCGCGGUAAUAG
rnacentral:rRNA from 1 species